CUUGGAAGUCAAUGACUGUGUCCCUGUAGGAGACACGUCUUUGGCUUCCCAGGUG
rnacentral:pre_miRNA from 1 species